rfam:Gossypium hirsutum cultivar TM-1 unplaced genomic scaffold scaffold1428.1, whole genome shotgun sequence
UAUUAAAAUUUUCAUCUAUUUAUAUAUUGUUAAAAAUUGUCGUGGUUGACAGAAUAACCAGAUUGUGAUACUGGUGUGUCACGUGUACCUCAUGUUGAUGUACAAAUAUCAGUUUUUAACCGUAGAAAUGGAUACAAAUUUUAACA